CAGAGACUGCAAGCGUUAUUCGGAUUCACUGGGCGUAAAGGGUGCGCAGGCGGCCAAGUGUGUGAGGCGUGAAAGCCUGGAGCUUAACUCCAGAAUUGCACCUCAAACUACAUGGCUAGAGCAUUGGAGAGGGUAGCAGAAUUCAUGGUGUAGCAGUGAAAUGCGUAGAUAUCAUGAGGAAUACCAGAGGCGAAGGCGGCUACCUGGACAAUUGCUGACGCUCAGGCACGAAAGCGUGGGGAGCAAAAGGGAUUAGAUACCCCUGUAGUCCACGCCCUAAACGGUGCACACUAGGUCUUGGCGGAUUCGACCCCACCAGGGCCCAAGCUAACGCGUUAAGUGUGCCGCCUGAGGACUACGGCCGCAAGGCUA
rnacentral:rRNA from 1 species